UGGGGAAUAUUGCACAAUGGGCGCAAGCCUGAUGCAGCCAUGCCGCGUGUGUGAAGAAGGCCUUCGGGUUGUAAAGCACUUUCAGCGAGGAGGAAGGUGGUGAGCUUAAUACGCUCAUCAAUUGACGUUACUCGCAGAAGAAGCACCGGCUAACUCCGUGCCAGCAGCCGCGGUAAUACGGAGGGUGCAAGCGUUAAUCGGAAUUACUGGGCGUAAAGCGCACGCAGGCGGUUUGUUAAGUCAGAUGUGAAAUCCCCGGGCUCAACCUGGGAACUGCAUUUGAAACUGGCAAGCUAGAGUCUCGUAGAGGGGGGUAGAAUUCCAGGUGUAGCGGUGAAAUGCGUAGAGAUCUGGAGGAAUACCGGUGGCGAAGGCGGCCCCCCUGGACGAAGACUGACGCUCAGGUGCGAAAGCGUGGGGCAGCAAACAGGAUUAGAUACCCUGGUAGUCCAGCGCUGUAAACGAUGUCGAUUUGGAGGUUGUGCCCUUGAGGCGUGGCUUCCGGAGCUAACGCGUUAAAUCGACCGCCUGGGGGUAGU
rnacentral:rRNA from 1 species